rnacentral:rRNA from 1 species
CCUACGGGCGGCAGCAGUGGGGAAUAUUGCACAAUGGGCGAAAGCCUGAUGCAGCAACGCCGCGUGAGCGAUGAAGGCCUUCGGGUCGUAAAGCCCUGUCCUCAAGGAAGAUAAUGACGGUACUUGAGGCGGAAGCCCCGUCUAACUACGUGCCAGCAGCCGCGGUUAUACGUGGGGGGCUAGGGUUAUCCGGAAUUACGGGGCGUAAAGGGGGAGUAGGUGGUUUCUUAAGUCAGAGGUGAAAGUCUACGGCGCAACCGUAGUAAGCCUGUGAAACUGGGAAACUUGAGUGUAGGAGAGGGAAGUGGAAUUCGUGGUGUAGCGGUGAAAUGCGUAGAUAUUAGGAGGAACACCAGUUGCGAAGGCGGCUCUCUGGACUGUAACUGACGCUGAGGCACGAAAGCGUGGGGAGCAAACAGGAUUAGAUACCCUUGUAGUC